CUGAGAAGAAUUGAGAAAGUGGUGUGUGUGUGUGUGCGCGCGCGCGCGCGCGCACCGUAUAUCCCUCUGCUGGAGCCUAUUCAACUAUUUGACACUCCUAUCCAAUUCCUUGACAUUCUGAUAAAGAGAGAAACAAGAGAGGGAGAGGGAGAAAACCGUAAGAAGAACGAAGAAGAGAAGAAAAAGAAUUCAAGUUUUGUGCUGAAAUUGAAGGAAGAACUUAAGAGACUCAACAAAUUAAAGUUCUAGGUCAAGACUCGAAGACCGAACAACGGGUAUUGGAAGGCCACUGUGAGCAUUCUGGAAGGCAAGCCUAGAAGGGGUAUUUAGUUGAGCCACAGUUUUGAAGCCUACCAAGUUGUUUUGUGUGCCUCUGAUUUGGGGCUAGGCCUGGAAGGCCGUUGUUAGGCUUUUGAUCGUGAUGUACACUUUUGUUAUGUGCAUGUGUUAUGUAUAAGAUGUUAAGUUAUAAGUUAUGUACUGAAUGUAGGUAAAUUAACGUCGUUGCAUGUAAA